rnacentral:lncRNA from 1 species
AAAACACAAAAACUUAACACUGAGCAAUGAACCGUGAAAACCAGGUCAAGGUCAAAUAAAACCUGCACGACUGACAUAUAGAUCAUAAAAUAUUUCCAUACACCAAAUAUAGUUGACCUAUGACAUAUAGUAUUAGAUAAAAAGACCAAAACUCAAAAACUUUACUUGACCACUGAACCAUGAAAAUGAGGUCAAGGUCAGAUGACAUCUACCCGAUAGACAUGUACACCUUACAAUCAUUCCAUACAACAAAUAUAGUAAACCUAUUGCAUCAAGUAUGAGAAAAACAGACCAAAACACAAAAACUUAACUAUAACCACUGAACCAUGAAAAUGAGGUCAAGGUCAGAUGACACCUGCCAGUUGGACAUGUACACCUUACAGUCCUUCCAUACACCGAAUAUACUAGACCUAUUGCUUAUAG